rnacentral:rRNA from 1 species
UACGUAGGGGGCAAGCGUUGUCCGGAAUUAUUGGGCGUAAAGAGCGUGUAGGCGGUCCGGUCAGUCGGUUGUGAAAGUCAAGGGCUCAACCCUUGAAUGCCGGCCGAUACUGCCGGGCUAGAGGAUGGUAGAGGCGAGUGGAAUUCCCGGUGUAGCGGUGAAAUGCGCAGAUAUCGGGAGGAACACCAGUAGCGAAGGCGGCUCGCUGGGCCAUUCCUGACGCUGAGACGCGAAAGCUAGGGGAGCGAACAGG